CCCUUAGAUGUUCUGGGCCGCACGCGCGCUACACUGAUGCAUUCAACGAGUUUCUUCCUGGUCCGAGAGGAAUGGGUAACCUUUUGAAAGUGCAUCGUGAUAGGGAUAGACUAUUGCAAUUAUUGGUCUUCAACGAGGAAUUCCUAGUAGACGUAGUUCAUCAGACUGCAUCGAUUACGUCCCUGCCCUUUGUACACACCGCCCGUCGCUACUACCGAUUGAAUGGUUUAGUGAGAUCUUCGGAUUGGCGCCACUGCGGCUCAGUAAUGGGCUCGGUGGAUGCCGAAAAGUUGAUCAAACUUGAUCAUUUAGAGGAAGUAAAAGUCGUAACA
rnacentral:rRNA from 1 species